rnacentral:rRNA from 1 species
AACGAACGCUGGCGGCGCGCCUAAUACAUGCAAGUCGAGCGAGAAGGUGUAGCAAUACACUUGUAAAGCGGCGAACGGGUGAGGAAUACAUGGGUAAUCUACCAUCGAGUGGGGAAUAACCAACCGAAAGGUUGGCUAAUACCGCGUACGCCUCCGAAUCUUCGGGUUCGGAGGGAAAGCUGCACUGUGAGUGUAGCGCUCUUUGAUGAGCUCAUGUCCUAUCAGCUUGUUGGUAGGGUAACGGCCUACCAAGGCUUUGACGGGUAGCUGGUCUGAGAGGACGAUCAGCCACACUGGCACUGCGACACGGGCCAGACUCCUACGGGAGGCAGCAGUAAGGAAUAUUGCGCAAUGGGCGAAAGCCUGACGCAGCGACGCCGCGUGGGGGAUGAAGGGCUUUUGCUCGUAAACCUCUGUAGUGAGGGAAAAAUUUCCAUUCUAUGGAAUAUGAUGGUACCUCAAAAGUAAGCCCCGGCUAACUACGUGCCAGCAGCCG